UACGUAGGGACCGAGCGUUGUCCGGAAUCAUUGGGCGUAAAGAGCGUGUAGGCGGCCACUUAAGUCCUGCGUGAAAUCUUGCGGCUCAACCGCAAGCGGUCGUGGGAAACUGGGUGGCUAGAGUGCGGGAGAGGAGAGUGGAAUUCCUGGUGUAGCGGUGGAAUGCGCAGAUAUCAGGAGGAACACCGGUGGCGAAGGCGGGUCUCUGGGCAACAACUGACGCUGAGGAGCGAAAGCGUGGGGAGCGAACAGG
rnacentral:rRNA from 1 species